ACAGGUCUGUCUCACGGGAGGAGAUGAUGGAGUGUGUGAAGAGUCCUUGGGAUGGUGGUCAGAGCCAUCAACACCUUCCUCACCAUUCUAUUUAUUGACUUCCACUAGAUUCAAGUUAUCUUGUCAAACAGUGGACUGUUGUCCUUUAAAUUAUCGAAAUACCCUCUAAGGAACUGGUGGGUACAGCACUGAGCAGAAAUGAAAGGAAGUAGAAGCCAGUCUCCAAUUGAGAAGGAAACUCUUUACAUUU
rnacentral:lncRNA from 1 species